GCCGAGGGACCUUGCGCGUGCGCAGAGGCGUCCCAGUGCGCCGGCCCGCCUCCCCCACCCCCUUGUGGGGGCGCCCGUCUGGAAGUGGGCGGAGUGCGGGCUGUGAUUAAUGCCUGGCCUAUAGAAGGCAGCGAGUUAAUCUUCCUCGCGCCCGUAAGUAGCAGGCCGCAGGCGUUAGGCGACGCUUUCCUUCCCAGCCCGGGCCCACGGCGGGUGUAGCACUGCGGAGGAGGAGGAGGAGAAGGAGGAGAAGGAGGAGGGAGAGGCAAGGCCCAGGCAGAAAGGUCGCGUCAGCGCGGUGCCGAGCCUGUCCGCCCCCGCGGGACGGCGAAACACAUGAGAGAGACUGUCAGUGGUACCGAUUCCACCUCACUCGGGCGGGAAUCACACCCACACUCGGAGGGGCUCCGAGGAGGGGCCCGUGGGUGGGCGUCCUACGCACAACCCGUCCCUUCCUCGGUGGGUUCUUAACUGGUGUCGCGAAUUUGAAACGAAACCGAAGCUGAGCGUUCAACAGCACAAGCUUUAGUCUUUAUUCGAUGGCCAAGGAAUGGAGAAGCGGGAACUUGAGUUCACAAAUCAACUUCUCAGCUCCUGGGUUCUAGAGGCUGGAAGUCUGUGAACAGGGAGCCAGCAUGGAGGUAGUCAGCCGGAGAUUCUUUUAGAACCUACCUGGCCUUUGUUAGACAAGAGAAAAAUCCUUCAAGGCUCCAGUCUGACAAAAAUCAGAAUCAAAGUGAAAAGGUUUAGAGAGGAAGAAAAAGACCAGCAUUCUCUUGGAAAAUCAGGGGAAGCCGAGGCCUGCAUGUCGAGGAAUCUCACAGAAGCUUGGAUCUGGAGUGAGCUCUGAGAGGAACAUCUAGUUGUGGGAGAUUACCAGUACAAAUGGCUGCCUAGCCUAGGGGACAUUUGUGUAUUCUUUACCUGCGCACUCUUCUGCCAUUGCUUCCCUGGGAACGAUGGACUUGUUAAAGUCUGAUAAAACUAUUAAGAAAAAAUUAAAAAUAGGCUUCUAAACCACUGACUGGAGUCACUGAUUGCAAUGACAUGUAGGUGGGUCUUCACAUUUUUACCAUCUGCCCUUCUAUGUAUUAUACAGUCAUACCCCAAGCCAUCUUUCCUUCAGUUCCAGUUCUUAUCUAUCAG
rnacentral:lncRNA from 1 species